rnacentral:rRNA from 1 species
AUUGAACGCUGGCGGCAUGCCUUACACAUGCAAGUCGAACGGCAGCGGGGGAGAAGCUUGCUUUUCCUGCCGGCGAGUGGCGAACGGGUGAGUAAUACAUCGGAACGUGCCCUGUAGUGGGGGAUAACUAGUCGAAAGAUUAGCUAAUACCGCAUACGACCUGAGGGUGAAAGUGGGGGACCGCAAGGCCUCAUGCUAUAGGAGCGGCCGAUGUCUGAUUAGCUAGUUGGUGGGGUAAAGGCCUACCAAGGCGACGAUCAGUAGCUGGUCUGAGGGGACGAUCAGCCACGCUGGGACUGAGACACGGCCCAGACUCCUACGGGAGGCAGCAGUGGGGAAUUUUGGACAAUGGGCGAAAGCCUGAUCCAGCAAUGCCGCGUGUGUGAAGAAGGCCUUCGGGUUAUAAAGCACUUUUGUCCGGAAAGAAAUGGCUCUGGUUAAUACCUGGGGUCGAUGACGGUACCGGAAGAAUAAGGACCGGCUAACUACGUGCCAGCCGCCGCCGUAA